rnacentral:tRNA from 1 species
GGGAUGGCUCAGCAGUUAAGAGCAUUUGAUUUUCUUGCAGAGGGGCCUGGGUUCGAUUCCCAGCACCCA